rnacentral:lncRNA from 1 species
AAUAGGUGAAACUCCGGUGAAAUCUUCGUUUUCCCGUGUGGUAUCAUACUUGCCCCUUUACUUACUUGUUUUACUUCAUUGUCUAUACUUUGCUUCGGCUAGUGCUUCGGCUAGUGCACUUCAUACUAGGGUUGCAUUCCUGUUAGAGAAUUUAGUGAACCCUAAGAUUAAGUGUUUGUAUCUUUCAAGAAAAAAAAUUAAAAAGUAAAAUUUGUUAGUUGCCUAUUCACCCCCCUCUAGUCGACCAUACCGAUCUUUCAAAAGGGCAGGCACGUGGCAUGCCGCGAGCCGGCCACGCGUGCCACGGUGUGGCCCCCCUGUCGGGCCUUUGCCGGCAUUCGGGGAAAAAGCCGCCGGCAAAGGGCGGGCACGUGGCACGAUCUGGUGCGUGCCCGCGCUUAGCCUUUGCCGGGGGCCAGGACUGUGGCCGCCGACAAAGGGUAUUUUUUUUGUUUUUUUUAUCGCAGCAAUUUGAAAUAUUUUCACAGCACAUAUAUACAGAUAUAUACUCAUCCACAUUAUAGCAAUACAUCCACACAAAAUCAUAGACGCAUCCACGUAACGCAUUCACAUCACAAUUGACAUCUCAUGAAAGACCGAAACAUCACAUAUCUCACAACAAAAGUAUUACAAGUGUUCCUCACAUGGUAGCAUGUAACAUCCCAUUUUUUCAAAACCCUUCAUAUGAAUUGCAUUUCAUCAGCAUCAUGUCACCUUUGCAUUUAAUCACAUUUAAAACCCUUAAGUGUAACUCAGAAAACCCAUUAACAAAAGUACUUUUAUUUGGAUCUGGCUUUCUUCUUACUUUUGGUUAAUUGCAUUUUAACCCAUGAGGGUUUUAGCAUAAAAAGGGGUUUAAUGCAUUUAUAAAGCUACCCCAUAUCUUGGCAUUUGAAUUUGAUUUGAAUCACAAAUUAUUUUUAAUAGCUAGAAAGCCCUAAAGGCUAGUUUAUAGGCAAAAAUAUUUUUUAAAAUAUUUUAUUUUGAGGGAAUUCUUGUCCCAAAAAGUUGAAUCAUAUGAAAAUACGAUUUUACAAAUUUUGUUGAAAAUUAUUUGGUUUAAAUUGGAGCUUUGAAUCAAAAUUGGUAUUCAAAAACAGAAAUAGAAAAGGAAAAAAGAAAUGAAGAAAAAAAAAGAAACAUCGGCCGGCCCGGCCAAAUGGGCUGAACCGGCGCACUCACCUGAGCCCGACCGAGCCGGCCCAGCCCACGCGCUGCCCGUGCCGAUGACAGGUGGACCCCACUGUCAGGCCCCCGUCUUCGUCUCCAACUGCCUCCUCUUUCCCCGGCCACGACCGCGUUCGAACCGGCCACGACUCCUCCCGAUUUCUCCUGCCACGCAGCCCCACUUUCGAAUUGGAGCGCGUCUGUAACAUCCCAAAAAUUUCAAACUUUCACAUGUGCAUUGCAUCCAUGAGCAUCAUGCCACAAUUGCAUGUUUGAAUUCUAAUUUGAAUCUCAAAAGGCUUUGAAAAGAUUUUUAUUUCAAUUUAAACCCUAGGGUUUACACCCAUUUGAGCUUUGGAUCUUCAAACCAAUAAGGUUUAUUUAUAAAAGGGGUUUAUUGCAUAAAUAAGCUAUCCCAUAAUUUUUGGAUAAUUAUUUGGAGUUGGAAAACUAUUUUAUUUAAAUAGUGAUAUAGCCCUAAAGGUAUUUAUAGGGCAAAUGUAUUUUUAUAUAUUUUAUUUUGAGGGGAAAUUACUCCCAAAAGUUGAAUCAUGAUAAAACAUGAUUUUACAAAUUUUCUGGAAUUUAUUUGGACCAAUUUGGAGUUCAAAAUCAAAAGACAUCAAAGAAAUAAGAAAAACAGAAAAAAGAAAAGGCUAAAAGAAAAAAGAAGGGAAAGAACCGGACCGGCCCGGUCAAAUGGGCCGAACCGGCCCAGAAAACCGACCGCGCCCAAACCAACCCGCGUGUGCGCCCGCUCCCACUGACGCGUGGGACCCACGGGUCAGGGUCUUCGUCUUCGUUUGGAAACCGCCCGUCAGGGCGCGACGCGCGCGCGCCGUGGCCGCCACCAUCCGCGCCACCCGUCAGCUCCGAACUUCCCGCGAUCUGCCUCCCGCACCCCUAUAAAGAGCGCCAUGCCCGCUCUCUUUCCCCCUUUUCCCCACUGCCGAUUGCGCUACCGAAUCGCCUCGAUUCCUCGCCGGAGAA